ensembl:snRNA U6 U6 spliceosomal RNA
GCUGUUAUUCAGACAGCAAUGAAAAUUGGAACAAUACAGAAAAGAUUAGCAUGGCCCCUGUACAAGGAGGACAUGCUCCAUAUUUUUAAAGUAAAAUAUAAAAUU